UUGAGCUGACUUAGCAGGGAAGGAGCCAAGGAACACAGAGCCUGACCUCAUUCUUCUUUCUCCCUCCAGGCUCUGCCCCUAUUUCCCAUUGGCCAAACCCUACUGGAAGUGGAAGGCUAAGAAGCCCGCUGGUGCAAUCCAUACAGAAAAGAAACUAACACAGGGAAGAGAGAGAACAAUGGCGUUUUGACAAAUGGAACAAAGAUAGAGUGUGACUGACAAUUCAGGUCAGAAGGAAAAUUAAAGCACAGGAAGACUGAUGUUGGUCGGCCUCCUUGCCAAGAAGCAAAAACUCAGGGGGAGGCAUCCAGCCACAUGCGAACUGGCUCAACACUGGCCAUUUUGUUUGAGCAAUUUUGUUGGAUGUUUUCUACAAAAGAGCACUUUUUCUCGGACUUCAAACAUUCUUAUAUGCAGGAUCGACACCACACACUGCCAUCAUCCCCUGGAGUAGUAUCCUUGAGACCUGAGGAGGGGAGAACUGGAGGGAGGUUGUGGGACUCCACUGAGAAAUGUGGUCCUUUGUCUCCUUGGAGAUCUUUGAGGAUGGUUCAGAUAAAGUUGCUGCCAGUGGAAGCAGCUAGUUUCAGAAACCUCCAGUUGCCCUUUCUAGACUUGUAAUCCUCUGAAAAAUGGAAAUUAGGAAGCGUUCAUUUAUGACCUUAAAAAAAAUCGUUUACAAAAGUAUAUUAUAUCAGUAAAAUGAGCUGGAAAAAGGGUUUAUGUGAAAGUUCAUGUGAGAAACACAGCUAUUAGCACGCAUGCCAUUCCCCACCUUGACCUCAGCAGGAAUGUGUAAAUUGUAACAUAUGGAAUGUAAGCCCUGUCAAGAUGUUUCAUAAAUCUGCCUGGCAAUGAGCAUCACAAGGCCCUGCAUGAGAACAGACCCCAGAAAUGGAGAGACAAAUAAAGAAACAUCAGAAAUAUUAAAACCAGGACCAAAAGGAGGCCCAGGUGUAGGAGCAUGAAACAUCUGGCAACAUGUAGCAAAAACAGGAGACUUUUUUCUUCUAACUGAAUUUUGGCCUCUUGGUGCCAGUAUGUGAAAAAGGUCUUGUAGGCCAGGUGCAGAGGCUCACGCCUGUAAUCCCAGCACUUUGGGAGGCCAAGGCUGGCAGAUUACAAGGUCAGGAGUUCAAGACCAGCCUGGUCAACACAGUGAAACCCCGUCUCUACUAAAAAUACAAAAAUUAGUCGGGCGUGGUGGCGCAUGCCUGUAAUGCCAGCUACUCAGGAGGCUGAGGCAGAAGAAACGCUUGAACCCUGGAGGUGGAGGUUGCAGAGAGCCGAGAUUGCACUACUGCACUCCAACCUGGGCGACAGGGUGAGACUCCAUCUCAAAAAAGAAAAAAGAAAAAAGAUAAAGGCCUUGUAAUUGGCCAGAAUGAGGGGAAGUUAGACAAGAGAGGAAGAAAUAUAAAUAUAAUUAAAA